rnacentral:lncRNA from 1 species
GAACAGAAUGAGUCUGUUAGCUGUACAGUUACAAGAUGACAUGUUCAUACCCUGGGUUGUUCUGAACAGAAUGAGUCUGUUAGCUGUACAGUUACAAGAUGACAUGGUCAUACCCUGGGUUGUUCUGAACAGAAUGAGUCUGUUAGCUGUACAGUUACAAGAUGACAUGGUCAUACCCUGGGUUGUUCUGAACAGAAUGAGUCUGUUAGCUGUACAGUUACAAGAUGACAUGGUCAUACCCUGGGUUGUUCUGAACAGAAUGAGUCUGUUAGCUGUACAGUUACAAGAUGACAUGGUCAUACCCUGGGUUGUUCUGAACAGAAUGAGCCUGUUAGAUGUACAGUUACAAGAUGACAUGUCAUACCCUGGGUUGUUCUGAACAGAAUGAGUCUGUUAGCUGUACAGUUACAAGAUGACAUGGUCAUACCCUGGGUUGUUCUGAACAGAAUGAGUCUGUUAGCUGUACAGUUACAAGAUGACAUGGUCAUACCCUGGGUUGUUCUGAACAGAAUGAGCCUGUUAGCUGUACAGUUACAAGAUGACAUGGUCAUACCCUGGGUUGUUCUGAACAGAAUGAGCCUGUUAGCUGUACAGUUACAAGAUGACAUGGUGUCAUACCCUGGGUUGUUCUGAACAGAAUGAGCCUGUUAGCUGUACAGUUACAAGAUGACAUGGUGUCAUACCCUGGGUUGUUCUGAACAGAAUGAGUCUGUUAGCUGUACAUUUACAAGAUGACAUGGUGUCAUACCCUGGGUUGUUCUGAACAGAAUGAGUCUGUUAGCUGUACAGUUACAAGAUGACAUGUCGUCAUACCCUGGGUUGUUCUGAAUAGAAUGAGUCUGUUAGUUGUACAGUUACAAGAUGACAUGGUCAUACCCUGGGUUGUCCUGAACAGAAUGAGUCUGUUAGUUGUGCAGUUACAAGAUGACAUGGUGUCAUACCCUGGGUUGUUCUGAACAGAAUGAGCCUGUUAGAUGUACAGUUACAAGAUGACAUAGUCAUACCCUGGGUUGUUCUGAACAGAAUGAGCCUGUUAGCUGUACAGUUACAAGAUGACAUGGUCAUACCCUGGGUUGUUCUGAACAGAAUGAGCCUGUUAGAUGUACAGUUACAAGAUGACAUGUCGUCAUACCCUGGGUUGUUCUGAACAGAAUGAGCCUGUUAGCUGUACAGUUACAAGAUGACAUGUCAUACCCUGGGUUGUUCUGAACAGAAUGAGUCUGUUAGUUGUACAGUUACAAGAUGACAUGUCAUACCCUGGGUUGUUCUGAACAGAAUGAGCCUGUUAGUUGUACAGUUACAAGAUGACAUGUCGUCAUACCCUGGGUUGUUCUGAAUAGAAUGAGUCUGUUAGUUGUACAGUUACAAGAUGACAUGUCGUCAUACCCUGGGUUGUUCUGAACAGAAUGAGUCUGUUAGUUGUACAGUUACAAGAUGACAUGUCAUACACUGGGUUGUUCUGAACAGAAUGAGUCUGUUAGCUGUACAGUUACAAGAUGACAUGGUCAUACCCUGGGUUGUUCUGAACAGAAUGAGUCUGUUAGUUGUACAGUUACAAGAUGACAUGUCGUCAUACCCUGGGUUGUUCUGAACAGAAUGAGCCUGUUAGUUGUACAGUUACAAGAUGACAUGUCGUCAUACCCUGGGUUGUUCUGAACAGAAUGAGUCUGUUAGUUGUACAGUUACAAGAUGACAUGUCGUCAUACCCUGGGUUGUUCUGAACAGAAUGAGUCUGUUAGUUGUACAGUUACAUGAUGACAUGUCGUCAUACCCUGGGUUGUUCUGAACAGAAUGAGUCUGUUAGUUGUACAGUUACAAGAUGACAUGUCGUCAUACCCUGGGUUGUUCUGAACAGAAUGAGUCUGUUAGUUGUACAGUUACAAGAUGAUAUGUCAUACCCUGGGUUGUUCUGAACAGAAUGAGUCUGUUAGCUGUACAGUUACAAGAUGACAUGGUCAUACCCUGGGUUGUUCUGAACAGAAUGAGCCUGUUAGAUGUACAGUUACAAGAUGACAUGGUCAUACCCUGGGUUGUUCUGAACAGAAUGAGCCUGUUAGAUGUACAGUUACAAGAUGACAUGGUCAUACCCUGGGUUGUUCUGAACAGAAUGAGCCUGUUAGAUGUACAGUUACAAGAUGACAUGUCGUCAUACCCUGGGUUGUUCUGAACAGAAUGAGCCUGUUAGCUGUACAGUUACAAGAUGACAUGUCAUACCCUGGGUUGUUCUGAACAGAAUGAGUCUGUUAGUUGUACAGUUACAAGAUGACAUGUCAUACCCUGGGUUGUUCUGAACAGAAUGAGCCUGUUAGUUGUACAGUUACAAGAUGACAUGUCGUCAUACCCUGGGUUGUUCUGAAUAGAAUGAGUCUGUUAGUUGUACAGUUACAAGAUGACAUGUCGUCAUACCCUGGGUUGUUCUGAACAGAAUGAGUCUGUUAGUUGUACAGUUACAAGAUGACAUGUCAUACACUGGGUUGUUCUGAACAGAAUGAGUCUGUUAGCUGUACAGUUACAAGAUGACAUGGUCAUACCCUGGGUUGUUCUGAACAGAAUGAGUCUGUUAGUUGUACAGUUACAAGAUGACAUGUCGUCAUACCCUGGGUUGUUCUGAACAGAAUGAGCCUGUUAGUUGUACAGUUACAAGAUGACAUGUCGUCAUACCCUGGGUUGUUCUGAACAGAAUGAGUCUGUUAGUUGUACAGUUACAAGAUGACAUGUCGUCAUACCCUGGGUUGUUCUGAACAGAAUGAGUCUGUUAGUUGUACAGUUACAAGAUGACAUGUCAUACCCUGGGUUGUUCUGAACAGAAUGAGCAUGUUAGCUGUACAGUUACAAGAUGACAUGGUCAUACCCUGGGUUGUUCUGAACAGAAUGAGCCUGUUAGUUGUACAGUUACAAGAUGACAUGUCAUACCCUGGGUUGUCCUGAACAGAAUGAGCCUGUUAGAUGUACAGUUACAAGAUGACAUGUCAUACCCUGGAUGUUCUGAACAGAAUGAGCCUGUGUUUGUCUAUUGUGAAGGAAAUUUGCCACGAAACACGUACCAGAGUGGACUGAUGACUCCUUUCUAUCCGCUCCAAAAUGAUGAUCAAUUUCCCUGAAUUGCAUUGUGAAAGCCUGACACUGUACUAUCCUAUUUUAUAACUUAGCUAGUCAUGUUGGUAAUAGAACAGGCUUUCAAACGAUGCACACCUGACCCUGAUUUAUAAUGGACCGUUUCUGGAUUGCGUAAACAACAACAGUAAUUGUGUGAUGGCGGGGAUGCAAGGUUGUGUUCCAAACACCACAACUACAAGCGUACUUGCACUACAUCCUCAAUGGCACAGUUCAGAGAGCUCAAAAAAGUACCUUAUAGUUAGCUGAAGACUCUUCUUUGAGUCAUAGAAGUGCAUUGAAAUGACUUAGAGAACUGUGUACACUUUACAGAGGUGUGUGUCCACUUGGAGACACCAGUUAGUCCUCUCACUCAAACCCUUGUCAUUUUCUUUGUCUUAUGUUGCACCUACCACACAUUUUCCAGAAAUAUUCGUAUCAUGUUACUGAAUGUAUCCAGAGUAUUUUCUAAUUUCGUUAAACAAAUGCGGCAACAAGUACAGUAAAUGUAAAAUGCACAUAAAAUCGACAGUGUAAUGUUUGGAUUUAGUCUUGUGUCUGGUGAAUUGUUGUGUCCUCACCUUUAGUCUAGUAAUGUUCCUAUAAUCACCAAACUGUUCCCUUUCCAUUGCUACCAUGGUUAUGCAUACACUUUCAUAUUUCUUCUGUAAGAAACAUUUUAAACACACACACACUUCAAUUUAGCCUUAUCCAUAUACUGUAGGCCAGUUCCCACGAGUGUAAAGGGUUAAGAACAGUGGAGGCUGUUGAGGGGAGGACGGCUCAUAAUAAUGGCUGGAACAGACAAAUAGAAACCAGGUGUUUAAUGUAUUUGAUCCCAUUCCAGUCAUUCCUCUCCAGACAUUACCACAAGCCUGUCCUCCCCAACCAAGGUGCCACCAACCUCCUGUGCUUAAGACAACAAAAUCAAUCAGCUUUUUAUCUGACUCCUUCCAAUUUUUUAAAAACAGUGAAUUCCCUGAAGUGUGCAAAUUCUUCCCCUUCUCUGCCUACGCACGUUUUGUCAGACACUGGCAUCAUUACUGAAAAAAGUGUGAUACGGGAUGCUUUUAAUCAUUUUAUUUUGUCAGGCUAUUUAUUUGAGAGGAAUGGUGGUUUAAAUAACCUUGGUCAGUCAGUUUGUUGCUCUUCCCUCUCCCAGCCUCCAGCUGACUCCACGGUUAACCUCUCAACUACUGGUGAAUCAGUAUGUUCUGUCCGCACCACCCCCUGCUUGCUGAAUAAUUUACCCAUAUCUUUAACCUGAUUAUAUCUGGUACUAUCACCAAGGUUUGGAAGACGGCUCUGGUACUCCCCCUUCACAAAGGUGGUGAUCGAUGUGACCUACGCUGAACAAAAAUAUAAAUGUAAAGUGUUGGUCCUAUGUUUCAUGAGCUGAAAUAAAAGAUCACAGAAAUUUACCAAUCGCACAAAGACCUUAUUUCUCUCAAAUUCUAUGCACAAAUUGGUUUACAUCCCUGUUAGUGAGCAUUUAUCCUUUGCCAAGAUAAUCCAUCCACCUGAUAGGUGUGGCAUAUCAAGAAGCUGAUUAAACAGCAUGAUCAUUACACAGCUGUGCCUUGUGCUGGGGACAUAAAAGGCCACUCUAAAAUGUGCAGUUUUGACACACAACAUAAUACCAAAGAUCUCUCAAGUUUUGAGGGAGCGUGCGAUUGGCAUCCUGACCUCUGGAAUGUCCACCAGAGCUGUUGCCAGAAAAUUGAAUGUUUAUUGAAUGUUUAUUUCUCCACCAAGUUUUUUUAUGUUACAACACAGAACAGUCAAAUGCCUUUCUUGCAAAUUCAAAACCCAACAGUGCAAUAAUCAAAAACAAUGUAAUACUAGACAAAACACACAAGAAAUAAGAAUAAGUAAAUGAAAUACACAAUAAAGUAAGUAUACUAUAUACAGGAAAUAUUUAAAAAGUCAGAUCCAAUACCAUAUUUAAAUGUGCAGGGAUACUGGAGUGAUGGAGGUAGAUAUGUAUAGGGGUAAGGUGACAGGGAUACUGGAGUGAUAGAGGUAGAUAUGUAUAGAGGUAAGGUGACAGGGAUACUGGAGUGAUGGAGGUAGAUAUGUAUAGGGGUAAGGUGACAGGGAUACUGGAGUGAUGGAGGUAGAUAUGUAUAGGGGUAAGGUGACAGGGAUACUGGAGUAAUGGAGGUAGAUAUGUAUAGGGGUAAGAUGACAGGGAUACUGGAGUGAUGGAGGUAGAUAUGUAUAGGGGUAAGGUGACAGGGAUACUGGAGUGAUGGAGGUAGAUAUGUAUAGAGGUAAGGUGACAGGGAUACUGGAGUGAUGGAGGUAGAUAUGUAUAGGGGUAAGGUGACAGGGAUACUGGAGUGAUGGAGGUAGAUAUGUAUAGGGGUAAGGUGACAGGGAUACUGGAGUGAUGGAGGUAGAUAUGUAGUGGGGUAAGGUGACAGGGAUACUGGAGUGAUGGAGGUAGAUAUGUAUAGGGGUAAGGUGACAGGGAUACUGGAGUGAUAGAGGUAGAUAUGUAUAGAGGUAAGGUGACAGGGAUACUGGAGUGAUGGAGGUAGAUAUGUAUAGGGGUAAGGUGACAGGGAUACUGGAGUGAUGGAGGUAGAUAUGUAUAGAGGUAAGGUGACAGGGAUAUUGGAGUGAUGGAGGUAGAUAUGUAUAGGGGUAAGGAGACAGGGAUACUGGAGUGAUGGAGGUAGAUAUGUAUAGGGGUAAGGUGACAGGGAUACUGGAGUGAUGGAGGUAGAUAUGUAUAGGGGUAAGGAGACAGGGAUAUUGGAGUGAUGGAGGUAGAUAUGUAUAGGGGUAAGGUGACAGGGAUACUGGAGUGAUGGAGGUAGAUAUGUAUAGGCGUAAGGUGACAGGGAUACUAGAGUGAUGGAGGUAGAUAUGUAUAGGGGUAAGGUGACAGGGAUACUGGAGUGAUGGAGGUAGAUAUGUAUAGAGGUAAGGUGACAGGGAUAUUGGAGUGAUGGAGGUAGAUAUGUAUAGGGGUAAGGAGACAGGGAUACUGGAGUGAUGGAGGUAGAUAUGUAUAGAGUUAAGGUGACAGGGAUACUGGAGUGAUGGAGGUAGAUAUGUAUAGGGGUAAGGUGACAGGGAUAUUGGAGUGAUGGAGGUAGAUAUGUAUAGGGGUAAGGUGACAGGGAUACUGGAGUGAUGGAGGUAGAUAUGUAUAGGGGUAAGGUGACAGGGAUACUGGAGUGAUGGAGGUAGAUAUGUAUAGGGGUAAGGUGACAGGGAUACUGGAGUGAUGGAGGUAGAUAUGUAUAGGGGUAAGGUGACAGGGAUACUGGAGGGAUGGAGGUAGAUAUGUAUAGGGGUAAGGUGACAGGGAUACUGGAGUGAUGGAGGUAGAUAUGUAUAGGGGUAAGGUGACAGGGAUACUGGAGUGAUGGAGGUAGAUAUGUAUAGGGGUAAGGUGACAGGGAUACUGGAGUGAUGGAGGUAGAUAUGUAGUGGGGUAAGGUGACAGGGAUACUGGAGUGAUGGAGGUAGAUAUGUAUAGAGGUAAGGUGACAGGGAUACUGGAGUGAUGGAGGUAGAUAUGUAUAGGCACAAGGUGACUAGGCAACAAGAUAUAAGAUAAACAGAGUAGCAACAGGUUGUAUGUGAGUGGGUGUGGGGGUGUGUAGAGUCAGUAUAAAUCUAUGUGCAUAUUAUGUGUGAAUGAGCAGAUGAUGGAGUAAGUGAGUGAGUGUAUGUGUGUUGGAGUGACAGUGUGUGAGUGUGUUAGUGUGCAUAGAGACAGUGCAAAAAUAAGUGCUCAAUAAAGAUACAAGGUUAACUCAGAUAGUCCAUGUAGCUAUUUUGUUAUCUAUUUAUCAGUCGUAUUGCUUGGGGAUAGAAGCUGUUCAGGAACCUGUUGGUGUCAGACUUGAUGUAUCGGUACCUCUUGCCGUGCGGCAGCAGAGAGAAUAGUCUAUAGGGUGGUUGGGUGGUUAGGGUUUUUGACGACUUUUCUGGGCCUUCUUUUCACAACGCCUGAUAUAGCGGUCCUGGAUGGUAGGGAGCUCGGCCCCAGUGAUGUACUGGGCUGUCCGCACCACCCUCUGUAGCGCCAUGCGAUCAAGGGUGGUGCUGUUGCCAUACCAAGCGGAGUUUGCAGCCAGUCAAUGCUCUCAAUUGUACAGCUGUAGAACCUUUUCAGGAUUUGAGGGCUCAUGGCAAACUUUUUAAACCUCCUGAGGGGAAAGAGGCAAUGUCCCGCCUUCUUCACGACUUCCCGACUGCAACGUCGUUUUAGACAAUUUGGCAGUACAUCCAGUACAGCCUCACAACCGCACACCACCUGUAAGGCAUCGUGUGGGCGAGCGGUUUGCUGAUGUCAACGUUGUGACAAAGUGCUCCAUAGUGGUGGUGGGGUGAUGGUAUGGGCAGGCAUAAGCUACAGACAACAAACACAAUUGCAUUUAUCAAUGGCAAUUUGAAUGCACAGAGAUACCGUGACGAGAUCCUGAGGCCCAUUGUUGUGCCAUUCAUCAGCCGCCAUCACCUCAUAUUGCACGGCCCCAUGUCACAAGAAUCUAUACACAAUUCCUAGAAGCUGAAAAUAUCCGAGUUCUGGCAUGGCCUCUAUACCAGACAUGUCACCUAUUGAGCAUGUUUGGUAUGCUCUGGAUCGACGUGUACGACAGGGUGUUCCAGUUCCCACCAAUAUCCAGAAACGUGGCAGAGCCAUUGAAGAGGAGUAGGACAACAUUCCACAGGCCACAAUCAACAGCCUGAUCAUCUCUAUGCGAAGGAGAUGUGUUGCACUGCAUGAUGCAAAUGGUGGUCACACCAGAUACUGACUGGUUUUCUGAUCCACGACCCUACCUUUUUUAAAGGUAUCUGUGACCAACAGAUGGAUAUCUGUAUUCCCAGUCCUGAAAUCCAUAGAUUAGAGACUAAUGAUAUUUUUUAAAUUGACUGAUUUCCUUAUAAUGAACUGUAACUCAGUAAAAUCUUUGAAAUUGUUGCAUGUUGCGUUUAUAUUUUUGUUCAGUAUAGAUAACUACUGCCCUAUCUCAAAACGUUCUUACCUAGCUAAAAUAUGAAGCUACUGUAAGAUCUUUCAUAUAUAGGAAUUGUAUUCAGUCGGUCUUCAGACCAGGUCAUAGCACUGUGUAUUCUGUUGUCCAGGCUCUAUCUAAACUGCAGUCUACUUUAAUUGUUUUACAGAAAAACGUUAUUGACCUGAAAUGAGUAUUGAAUGCGGAUAAAACAAAGUAUAUGUUGUUUUCUAGAGCACAUGAUUUAAACAUAUGUACCUUGGAUGGUGCCCACAUUGAUCGUGUCCCUGCUUACAAAUAUCUGGCCAUUUGGAUAAACAAUAAGCUGUCUUUUAAAAAGCAUAUUGAUGAGUUAACUAAGAAGUUGAGAAUAAAAAUGUAUAAAGCCCUUUUGCAAAAACUCCCACACUACCUGACAUCUUUACUUAGGCAUGGAAGUACGAGUUACCAUACUCGAUCACAUGGAUGGCUAACUGUGGAAAUUCCAUCUGUUGCUCCGAAAAAACAGCUGUUCGUUUCUUUGCACCCCAUGUGUGGAACAAUCUUCAGAGUUCCCUACAAAAGAUGUAUUGGUGCCUUUCAGGCAUUUCAGUGUUUAAUGAGGACCUCUUUGCUGAGGAAUGUGAUCGUUUUUCAUGAGUGUACUUUAUUUUAUUGUUUUCUCUUUGUAUUUAUUUUCUGGUGUAUUUCCUAUGUGUCAUUUGUUGUGUAAUUGUAAGAUGCAGGGCUCCCUUGCAAAAGAGACCUUGAUCUCAGUGGGACUCCCUGUCAAAAUAAAGGAUGAGAUGUGUAUUUAUUUCAUCUGUGUGGUAGAUGAGAUGUGUUAUUGUUUAGUGUUGUUUUGUUAAUGACACUAAUUAGUUCAGUUCCCGUCUGCUGCUGCUCUGAACAGCCAAUCAGAAGUCCCGCUGUGAGAUCGUCAGCUAGAGGCUAGAGGUAAUGGCUGCUGUGUGUAUGUAGAAGUGACAGGGCCGUUCUCUUUAUAUCACGUAUCAGCAUGUCUUAUUACGUGGCAUCAUGUCUAUUUAUGAGUGCCUUUUAAUCACAUGUGCUGUUGUUUACAACGAUUAUCUUUCACUUAAUUCCUUACAUUCUUACGUGUGAAAUUGAAUUAAUUAAAUCACAUGGACUAUUUUGCUUGCUUGUACGGUGUGUUGUGAUUCCACCAAUUGGCAUGGACUAAAGUGACAUUGAGAAUGUUGCCAAUUCCCUAUCCCCUCCUCCCUCCCAAAACGAAUUGCUAAACACGCCCCAGAACUAGAGUCAGAAGGAAGUGGAAUGUGUCUUCAGCACGCCAUUCAGACCGGGGACCUCUCGACCGACAACAUCCACCUCAUUGCUGCUGAUUGCUGCUCCUCUCCACUGUUCACCUGCUGUGGGAAGAAGACACUACUCAUACAAGGCUCUCUAUAGCACUCCUAAAGGAAAGGGAUUGUUUAGAGUAGGACUCUAAUUGUUGCCAGUAGUUGCUCUAAUUGUAUGUUAUGCGACUACAGACACAGGGGACACGCCCACACAGCUGUGAGAGGUUACACCCAACGCUACAACCCAGCAGGCCCGGCGUAGAGCGAGAGAUAACCCAGCAGGCCCGGGGUAGAGCGAGAGAUAACCCAGCAGGCCCGGCGUAGAGCGAGAGAUAACCCAGCAGGCCCGGCGUAGAGGGAGAGAUAACACAGCAGGCCCGGCAUAGAGCGAGAGAUAACCCAGCAGGCCCGGCGUAGAGCGAGAGAUAACCCAGCAGGCCCGGCGUAGAGCGAGAGAUAACCCAGCAGGCCCGACGUAGAGCGAGAGAUAACCCAGCAGGCCCAGCGUAGAGCGAGAGAUAACCCAGCAGGCCCGGCGUAGAGCGAGAGACAGCCGGGGAAAGCAGCCACCGACCACCGAACCUGCUAUUGAUGAGCCAUCCACUACCGGACCAGCCAUCCACUACAGAACCAGCCAUUCACUACCGGAUCAGCCAUCCACUACUGGACCAGCCAUCCACUACCGGACCAGCCAUCCAUUACCGGACCAGCCAUCCACUACCGGACCAGCCAUCCACUACCAGACCAGCCAUCCACUACCGGACCAGCAAUCCACUACCGGACCAGCCAUCCAUUACCAGACCAGCCAUCCACUACCGGACCAGCCAUCCAUUACUGGACCAGCCAUCCAUUACCGGACCAGCCAUCCACUACCGGACCAGCCAUCCAUUACCGGACCAGCCAUCCAUUAUCAGACUAGCCAUCCACUACUGGACCAGCCAUCCAUUACCGGACCAGCCAUCCACUACCGGACCAGCCAUCCACUACCGGACCAGCCAUCCAUUACCGGACCAGCCAUCCACUACCGGACCAGCCAUCCACUACCGGACCAGCAAUCCACUACAAGACCAGCCAUCCAUUACCGGACCAGCCAUCCACUACCGGACCAGCCAUCCAUUACCGGACCAGCCAUCCACUACCGGACCAGCCAUCCACUACCGGACCAGCCAUCCACUACCGGACCAGCCAUCCACUACAAGACCAGCCAUCCACUACCGGACCAGCCAUCCACUACCGGACCAGCCAUCCACUACCGGACCAGCCAUCCACUACAAGACCAGCCAUCCACUACCGGACCAGCAAUCCACUACAAGACCAGCCAUCCAUUACCGGACCAGCCAUCCACUACCGGACCAGCCAUCCACUACCGGACCAGCAAUCCAUUACCGGACCAGCCAUCCAUUACCGGACCAGCCAUCCAUUACCGGACCAGCCAUCCAUUACCGGACUAGCCAUCCACUAACAACUCCUGGUCGGGUUGAAGAGCUGAACGACGUGUGAGUGAGUACCAAUGGUCUCCAGUAUGAUGAUGUUACUGAUGAAGCUUUCUCCACCCUUUCCAGAUGUGGCCUGCUACGACAAGACUGCUGAGGCCAGGACUACCGCAUCAGAACCUCAUGAUGCCAACACCGAAGCGACGAACGCUCCAUGCUAAACAACUAUGGACUCUAGCUGGUAUGUGGUGUGAGUUUGCCCCGGCCUGUCCUUGUGUUUUGUUCUGUGUUGCUUUUAUCCUGUAACACACUAUAAAUAUUAAUAAAAGAGAAAAUAAAGAUAUUAAAGAACUCUAGACACUGACUGUCUGCCUCCUGCCUAUGUCUGUAGUAUUGGGAUUGAAUUUUUUUUUGUGUGUGUGUGUGUGUGUGUGGUGUGCUUUCAUAAAUGCCUUGCAUAUAGUUAUGAAAUACAAUAUAAUGGUUUUAUAUAGCCGGACUGAUAUUUAUUUAAUCAUUCAUUACUUCAUUAACUGUCUGAGAAGUCUCUCUAGCAAUAUGAAAAACAAUAUGGUCCAUUCUGACUGAGUCACACAUUCAUGACCUGUCUAUCAUGAGAGAGAGGAGGCAAGGAGGGAGAGAGAGAAGUAGGGGGGAAGGGUGUGUGAAGAGAGGGGAGAAGGAGAGGGGGGGAGAGGGAGAGUCCAGUAUGUUGAAGCAGGUCUGGUCCAGGUGGGGUUUAGUCAGUCAGUGUGUUAUUUUAG